GUUGUGUGUCUGUACAGUGUUAAUAAAGUUGUGUUUGUACAGUGUUAAUAAAGUUUUGUGUUUGUACAGUGUUAAUAAAGUUGUGUGUUUGUACAGUGAUAAUAAAGUUGUGUGUCUGUA